rnacentral:rRNA from 1 species
ACGAACGCUGGCGGCUGCUUAACACAUGCAAGUCGAACGAGUGGCGAACGGGUGAGUAACGCGUGAGCAACCUGCCUAUGACAGUGGGAUAGCCUCGGGAAACCGGGAUUAAUACCGCAUAGUCAUAGCUGGGCUCGCGUCUGAUUAGCUAGUUGGUGAGAUAACAGCUCACCAAGGCGACGAUCAGUAGCCGGUCUGAGAGGAUGAACGGCAACAUUGGCACUGAGACACGGUCCAAACUCCUACGGGAGGCAGCAGUGGGGAAUAUUGCACAAUGGGGGAAACCCUGAUGCAGCGACGCCGCGUGAACGAAGAAGGUAUUCGUAUCGUAAAGUUCUGUCCUAUGGGAAGCAGUACCAUAGAAGAAAGCUCCGGCUAAAUACGUGCCAGCAGCCGCGGUAAUAC